rnacentral:rRNA from 1 species
UACGAAGGGGGCUAGCGUUGCUCGGAAUCACUGGGCGUAAAGCGCACGUAGGCGGCUUGUUAAGUCAGGGGUGAAAUCCUGGAGCUCAACUCCAGAACUGCCUUUGAUACUGGCGAGCUUGAGUCCGGGAGAGGUGAGUGGAACUGCGAGUGUAGAGGUGAAAUUCGUAGAUAUCGUAAGGAAGACCAGUGGCGAAGGCGGGUCUCUGGACAGUUCCUGACGCUGAGGCACGAAGGCCAGGGGAGCAAACGGG